GAUGAACGCUGGCGGCAUGCCUAAGACAUGCAAGUCGAACGAAGUGGUCCAAUGAAGAUUGAGUGCUUGCACGAGAUUGGAUUUGGGUUGCCGCUUAGUGGCGCAAGGGUGAGUAACACGUAGGUAACCUACCUUAGAGACUGGGAUAACAACUGGAAACGGUUGCUAAUACCGGAUGAUAUAUACAAUGAUACGUUGUUGUAUAUUAAAAGGAGCCUUUAAAGCUCUACUUUAAGAUGGGCCUGCGGCGUAUUAGCUAGUUGGUGGGGUAAAGGCCUACCAAGGCGACGAUGCGUAGCCGACCUGA
rnacentral:rRNA from 1 species